GUGUCCGCAGCCGCGGUACUACGUAGGGUGCAAGCGUUAAUCGGAAUUACUGGGCGUAAAGCGUGCGCAGGCGGUCUUGCAAGACAGAUGUGAAAUCCCCGGGCUUAACCUGGGAACUGCAUUUGUGACUGCAAGGCUGGAGUGCGGCAGAGGGGGAUGGAAUUCCGCGUGUAGCAGUGAAAUGCGUAGAUAUGCGGAGGAACACCGAUGGCGAAGGCAAUCCCCGGGGCCUGCACUGACGCUCAUGCACGAAAGAGGGGGGAGCAAACAGGAGGAUCAACCAUCGGCUUAC
rnacentral:rRNA from 1 species